rnacentral:rRNA from 1 species
UGCUGUUAGUUUUCUUGGGUUUCCUUCCUGUCACACMCACUGCUUACAAUGUUGAAUGUGGUUGUGCCAUGCCAAGGCAUUUAAUCUAAUACAACUUUUAACAACGGAUCUCUUGGUUCUCGCAUCGAUGAAGAACGCAGCGAAAUGCGAUAAGUAAUGUGAAUUGCAGAAUUCAGUGAAUCAUCGAAUCUUUGAACGCACCUUGCGCUCCCUGGUAUUCCGGGGAGCACACCUGUUCGAGUGUUGUGAAAUUCUCAAGCUGGGAUACUUUUUUCUUGGCUUGGUAUUGGGCUUUGCCGUGUUUAUGAACGGCUGGCCUUAAAAGUAUUAGCUGACCUUUAUGUGGGAUUGGUUCUACUCGGUGUGAUAAUGAUCUGACCACCGAGGACAUCUUUUGGGAUGGCCAAAUUCUCAUUCGGGUUGCUUCUAAUCYGGUUUUGCAGAGUCUCAAAUCUGCUCCACUUUUCAAUUUUGACCUYGAAUCAGGUGGGAMUAACCCGCUGAACUUAAGCAUAUCAAUAAGCGGAGGAAAAGAAACUAACAAGGAUUCCCCUAGUAACGGCGAGUGAAGCGGGAAAAGCUCAAAUU